rnacentral:rRNA from 1 species
AGCAGCCGCGGUAAUUCCAGCUCCAAUAGCGUAUAUUAAAGUUGUUGCAGUUAAAAAGCUCGUAGUUGAAUUUCGGGAUCAAGGAAUCGGUCAUGCCUCGGUAUGUACUGGUUUUAUUGGUUCUCACCUUCUAAAGAACCAUGAUGUCAUUCACUUGAUGUUAUGGGGAAUUAGGACUGUUACCUUGAAAAAUUAGAGUGUUUAAAGCAGGCUUACGCUUGAAUACAUUAGCAUGGAAUAAUGAAAUAGGACAUCAGAUUCUAUUUUGUUGGUUUCUAGGAUCGAUGUAAUGAUUAAUAGGGAUAGUUGGGGCAUUAGUAUUCAAUUGUCAGAGGUGAAAUUCUUGGAUUUAUUGAAGACUAACUACUGCGAAAGCAUUUGCCAAGGAUAGUUUUCAUUAAUCAAGAACGAAAGUUAGGGGAUCGAAGACGAUCAGAUACCGUCGUAGUCUUAAACC